rnacentral:sRNA from 1 species
ACCGGGUGAGACGCUGGCUGCUUGCCGCUAGUGGAUGGUAAUUGCUUGCCUCGCGCUAGAAGGAAGCUGCUCUGUUAAAAGCGAAAAUGAAACAAUUGCCUGCGGCAACAGUUCGACUCCUUUCAAGUUCUCAGAUCAUCACUUCGGUGGUCAGUGUUGUAAAAGAGCUUAUUGAAAACUCCUUGGAUGCUGGUGCCACAAGCAUAGAUGUUAAACUGGAGAACUAUGGAUUUGAUAAAAUUGAGGUGCGAGAUAACGGGGAGGGUAUCAAGGCUGUUGAUACACCUGUAAUGGCAAUGAAGUACUACACCUCAAAAAUAAAUAGUCAUGAAGAUCUUGAAAAUUUGACAACUUACGGUUUUCGUGGAGAAGCCUUGGGGUCAAUUUGUUGUGUAGCUGAGGUUUUAAUUACAACAAGAACGGCUGCUGAUAAUUUUAGCACCCAGUAUGUUUUAGAUGGCAGUGGCCACAUACUUUCUCAGAAACCUUCACAUCUUGCUCAAGGUACAACUGUAACUGCUUUAAGAUUAUUUAGGAAUCUACCUGUAAGAAAGCAGUUUUACUCAACUGCAAAAAAAUGUAAAGAUGAAAUAAAAAAGAUCCAAGAUCUCCUCAUGAGCUAUGGUAUCCUUAAACCUGACUUAAGGAUUGUUUUCGUACAUAACAAGAUUUAUCUCAGUGGAUUUCUUCCAAAGUGUGAUGCAGACCACUCUUUCACUAGUCUUUCAACACCAGAAAGAAGUUUCAUCUUCAUAAACAGUCGACCAGUACAUCAAAAAGAUAUCUUAAAGUUAAUCCGACAUCAUUACAAUCUGAAAUGCCUAAAGGAAUCUACUCGUUUGUAUCCUGUUUUCUUUCUGAAAAUCGAUGUUCCUACAGCUGAUGUUGAUGUAAAUUUAACACCAGAUAAAAGUCAAGUAUUAUUACAAAAUAAGGAAUCUGUUUUAAUUGCUCUUGAAAAUCUGAUGACGACUUGUUAUGGACCAUUACUUAGUACAAAUUCUUAUGAAAAUAAUAAAACAGAUGUUUCUGCAGCUGACAUCGUUCUUAGUAAAACAGCAGAAACAGAUGUGCUUUUUAAUAAAAUGGAAUCAUCUGGAAAGAAUUAUUCAAAUGUUGAUACUUCAAUCAUUCCAUUCCAAAAUGAUAUGCAUAAUGAUGAAUCUGGAAAAAACAAUGAUGAUUGUUUAAAUCACCAGAUAAGUAUUGGUGACUUUGGUUAUGGUCAUUGUAGUAGUGAAAUUUCUAACGUUGAUAAAAACACUAAGAAUGCAUUUCAAGACAUUUCAAUGAGUAAUGUAUCAUGGGAGAACACUCAGACGGAAUAUAGUAAAACUUGUUUUGUAGGUUCCAUUAAGCACACCCAGUCAGAAAAUGGCAAUAAAGACCAUAUAGAUGAGAGUGGGGAAAAUGAGGAAGAAGCAGGUCUUGAAAACUCUUUGGAAAUUUCUGCAGAUGAGUGGAGCAGGGGAAAUAUACUUAAAAAUUCAGUGGGAGAGAAUAUUGAACCUGUGAAAAUUUUAGUGCCUGAAAAAAGUUUACCAUGUAAAGUAAGUAAUAAUAAUUAUCCAAGCCCUGAACAAACGAAUCUUAAUGAAGAUCCAUGUAACAAAAAAUCAAAUGUAAUAGAUAAUAAAUCUGGAAAAGUUACAGCUUAUGAUUUACUUAGCAAUCGAGUAGUCAAGAAACCCAUGUCAGCAAGUGCUCUUUUUGUUCAAGAUCAUCGUCCUCAGUUUCUCAUAGAAAAUCCUAAGACUAGUUUAGAGGAUGCAACACUACAAAUUGAAGAACUGUGGAAGACAUUGAGUGAAGAGGAAAAACUGAAGACACUUAAUAUAAACACAAAAUAUUAUGUUCUGGUGAUCUAACCCAGCAGAAAAUGAGAGUGAAAUUAUACCUCCAAUCAUAUACAGAUAUGAAGAGAAGGCUACUAAAGACUUGGAACGAUACAAUAAUCAAAUGAAGAGAGCCAUUGAACAGGAGUCACAAAUAUCAUUGAAAGAUGGCAGAAAAAAGAUAAAACCCACCAGCGCAUGGAAUUUGGCUCAGAAGCACAAGUUGAAAACCUCAUUAUCUAAUCAACCAAAACUUGAUGAACUCCUUCAGUCCCAAAUUGAAAAAAGGAGUCAAAAUAUUAAAAUGGUACAGAUCCCCUUUUCUAUGAAAAACUUAAAAAUAAAUUUUAAGAAACAAGACAAAGUUGACUUAGAAGAGAAGAAUGAACCUUGCUUGAUCCACAAUCUCAGGUUUCCUGAUGCAUGGCUAAUGACAUCCAAAACAGA